rnacentral:rRNA from 1 species
AGCGAACGCUGGCGGCAGGCUUAACACAUGCAAGUCGAACAGGCACUUCGGUGCUAGUGGCAGACGGGUGAGUAACGCGUGGGAACGUACCUUUCGGUUCGGAAUAAUUCAGGGAAACUUGGACUAAUACCGGAUACGCCCUUUGGGGGAAAGAUUUAUCGCCGAUAGAUCGGCCCGCGUCUGAUUAGCUAGUUGGUGAGGUAAUGGCUCACCAAGGCGACGAUCAGUAGCUGGUCUGAGAGGAUGAUCAGCCACAUUGGGACUGAGACACGGCCCAAACUCCUACGGGAGGCAGCAGUGGGGAAUAUUGGACAAUGGGCGCAAGCCUGAUCCAGCCAUGCCGCGUGAGUGAUGAAGGCCUUAGGGUUGUAAAGCCCUUUUGUCCGGGAAGAUAAUGACUGUACCGGAAGAAUAAGCCCCGGCUAACUUCGUGCCAGCCGCCGCAGUAAAAC